rnacentral:tRNA from 1 species
GAAGGUCUAGCUCUGUGGUAGAGCACCUGCUUAGCAUGCACAAGGCCCUGGGUUCAAGCCCCAGGACCUCCA